rnacentral:rRNA from 1 species
UACGUAGGGUGCGAGCGUUAAUCGGAAUUACUGGGCGUAAAGCGUGCGCAGGCGGUUUGCUAAGACAGGUGUGAAAUCCCCGGGCUUAACCUGGGAACUGCGCUUGUAACUGGCAAGCUGGAGUGUGGCAGAGGGGGGUGGAAUUCCACGUGUAGCAGUGAAAUGCGUAGAGAUGUGGAGGAACACCGAUGGCGAAGGCAGCCCCCGGGGCUAACACUGACGCUCAUGCACGAAAGCGUGGGAGCAAACAGG